rnacentral:rRNA from 1 species
UACGAAGGGGGCUAGCGUUGUUCGGAAUCACUGGGCGUAAAGGGCGCGUAGGCGGCUUUAUAAGUCGGGGGUGAAAGCCUGUGGCUCAACCACAGAAUUGCCUUCGAUACUGUAGAGCUUGAGACCGGAAGAGGUAAGUGGAACUGCGAGUGUAGAGGUGAAAUUCGUAGAUAUUCGCAAGAACACCAGUGGCGAAGGCGGCUUACUGGGCCGGUUCUGACGCUGAGGCGCGAAAGCGUGGGGAGCAAACAGG